rnacentral:rRNA from 1 species
UAUAGCUCAAAUUUGAAAUCUGGCGCCUUCGGUGUCCGAGUUGUAAUUUGAAGAAGGUAUCUUUGGUUUUGGCUCUUGUCUAUGUUCCUUGGAACAGGACGUCACAGAGGGUGAGAAUCCCGUGCGAUGAGAUGCCCAAUUCCAUGUAAAGUUCCUUCGACGAGUCGAGUUGUUUGGGAAUGCAGCUCUAAGUGGGUGGUAAAUUCCAUCUAAAGCUAAAUAUUGGCGAGAGACCGAUAGCGAACAAGUACUGUGAAGGAAAGAUGAAAAGAACUUUGAAAAGAGAGUGAAAAAGUACGUGAAAUUGUUGAAAGGGAAGGGCUUGAGGUCAGACUUGGUUUUACCAGGCCAGCAUCAGUUUGGAUGGAGGAUAAUAGCUUAGGAAUGUGGCACUGCUUCGGUAGUGUGUUAUAGCCUGGGUUGAUACUGCCUGUCUAGACUGAGGACUGCGUCUUUGACUAGGAUGCUGGCAUAAUGACCUUAAGCC